UACGUAGGGCGCAAGCGUUGUCCGGAUUCACUGGGUGUAAAGGGUGCGCAGGCGGGAAAGUAAGUUAGAGGUGAAAUCUCACAGCUCAACUGUGAAACUGCCUUUGAUACUGCUUUUCUUGAGUUAGGGAGAGGUUGAUGGAAUUCCAGGUGUAGCGGUGAAAUGCGUAGAUAUCUGGAAGAACACCGGUGGCGAAGGCGGUCAACUGGCCCUAAACUGACGCUCAGGCACGAAAGCUAGGGGAGCGAACGGG
rnacentral:rRNA from 1 species